CUAUGGUUUUCAUGGUUGUUGGGGCUCCUGUUGUCAUGGUAGUUGGAGCUGUUGUUGUCUUGGUAGUUGUAGAUGCAGUUAUCAUGGUAGUUGGAGCUGUUGGUGUCAUGGUAGUUGGAGUUACUGUUGCCAUGCUAGAUGGAGGUCUCUUUGUCAUCUUUGUUGGAGCAAAUGUUCUAUUUGGAGUUGGAGAUCCUGGUGUCAUGGUUGUAAACGUAGCUUUUUUCAUGGUAGGCUUUGCUGCCAUCGUCACGUUAUUCUGAUCAACCUGUGUCAUAGCUGGAUUACCAUUUGUCAAGUUAAUUGGAGCUCCC
rnacentral:lncRNA from 1 species